GGACAGGUGCACAAACAUGCAGGGGGUAUGGAUAGUUUUGUAUCGCCAGCAUAUUGCAGUUGAAGGCAUUUCUUUCCGAAGUUCUUUGAAGUUUAUUUCUAACAACGAACAUAUUUUGAUAGGGAAUCUAAGUAAGGGGGAAGGAAACCAAUGUUUUGUUCUGUACAGGUAUUUUCUUCUGUUUUCUAUUAAUAUCGGAGCACUCCCAUUUGGGAUAAAUGGGGUUCAUGCUGAAUCAAAUAUUAUCACAGACAUUGACACAGUGUACUUGGGUGCUUAUAUGUUUAAAAUCGUUAUAAAUACAUGUUAGAUUGUGAUUAUAAAAACAAGUGCAAAUAUCUGUUUAUGAUAUUUACAAAAACAAACGGUGCGGGAAAUGGACACGAUUACAUUUCCGGAUGCGGGAAGCGGGAAUAUAAAAAAAAUAAAAAAAUUCUGCUUUGAAAAAAAUAGGUGCGGGCGGGUCCGUCGAACAAGGAAUUAAAUUGGUGUGGCCUAGUGGUUU
rnacentral:lncRNA from 1 species